rnacentral:rRNA from 1 species
UACGGGGGGGGCAAGCGUUGUUCGGAAUUACUGGGCGUAAAGGGCUCGUAGGUGGCCAACUAAGUCAGACGUGAAAUCCCUCAGCUUAACUGGGGAACUGCGUCUGAUACUGGAUGGCUUGAGUCCGGAAGAGGAGAGCGGAAUUCCUGGUGUAGCGGUGAAAUGCGCAGAUAUCAGGAGGAACACCGGUGGCGAAGGCGGGUCUCUGGGCCGAUACUGACGCUGAGGAGCGAAAGCGUGGGGAGCGAACAGG